AAUAAGUGUAGUUUUAUACUAUUCACGUUUAACAUUUGACCGUUCGUCUUAUUUGAAAAUUUUUUAUGAUUAAUAUUUUUGUUGCUAUUAAAUGAUAAACAUGAAUAGUACUUUAUGCGUGACUAAAUAUUUUUAAUUUUUUUAUAAAUGUUUUAAAUAAGACAGAUGGUCAAAUGUUAGGCACGGAUAUCUACAGCUACACUUGGU
rfam:Oryza glaberrima chromosome 6 Oglab06_0215_11, whole genome shotgun sequence.